rnacentral:rRNA from 1 species
CCUACGGGUGGCAGCAGUGGGGAAUAUUGGGCAAUGGGCGCAAGCCUGACCCAGCAACGCCGCGUGCAGGAAGAAGGCUUUCGGGUUGUAAAAUUCUUUUGUCAGGGAAGAGUAGAAGACGGUACCUGACGCAUAAGCUACGGCUAACUACGUGCCAGCAGCCGCGGUAAUACGUAGGUGGCAAGCGUUGUCCGGCUUUACUGGGUGUAAAGGGCGUGUAGCCGGGUUGACAAGUCAGAUGUGAAAUCCAGCGGCUUAACCGUAGAACUGCAUUUGAAACUGUUGAUCUUGAGUACAGGAGAGGCAGAUGGAAUUCCUAGUGUAGCGGUGAAAUGCGUAGAUAUUAGGAGGAACACCAGUGGCGAAGGCGGGCUGCUGGACAGCAACUGACGGUGAGGCGCGAAAGCGUGGGGAGCAAACAGGAUUAGAUACCCUAGUAGUC